GAUGAAGAACGUAGCGAAAUGCGAUAAGUAGUGUGAAUUGCAGAAUUCAGUGAAUCAUCGAAUCUUUGAACGCACAUUGCGCCCCUUGGUAUCCUGAGGGGCAUGCCUGUUCGAGCGUCAUUUCACCACUCAAGCCUGGCUUGGUGUUGGGCGACGUCCCCUUUGGGGACGCGCCUCGAAACGCUCGGCGGCGUGGCACCGGCUUUAAGCGUAGCAGAAUCUUUCGCUUUGGAAGUCGGGGCCCCGUCUGCCGGAAGACCUACUCGCAAGGUUGACCUCGGAUCAGGCAGGGAUACCCGCUGAACUUAAGCAUAUCAAUAAGCGGAGGA
rnacentral:misc_RNA from 1 species